CAGUCGCCGCGGGAAUACGAAGGGUGCAAGCGUUAAUCGGAAUUACUGGGCGUAAAGCGUGCGUAGGCGGUGAGUUAAGUCUGCUGUGAAAUCCCCGGGCUCAACCUGGGAAUGGCAGUGGAUACUGGCUCGCUAGAGUGUGUCAGAGGAUGGUGGAAUUCCCGGUGUAGCGGUGAAAUGCGUAGAGAUCGGGAGGAACAUCAGUGGCGAAGGCGGCCAUCUGGGACAACACUGACGCUGAGGCACGAAAGCGUGGGGAGCAAACAGGAUUAGAUACCCCGGUAGUCCCUGUCUCUUAUAA
rnacentral:rRNA from 1 species